UACAUGGGGUGCAAACGUUGUUCGGAUUUACUGGGCGUAAAGCGCGUGUAGGCGGCUUGGCAAGUCGGAUGUGAAAGCCCACGGCUCAACCGUGGAAGCGCACCCGAAACGGCCUCGCUCGAGUCUCGGAGAGGAAGGUGGAAUGCUUGGUGUAGAGGUGAAAUUCGUAGAUAUCAAGCAGAACACCUGCGGCGAAGGCGGCCUUCUGGACGAUGACUGACGCUGAGACGCGAAAGCGUGGGGAGCAAACAGG
rnacentral:rRNA from 1 species